CACAGGUGACAGGUGUGACACCCACAGGUGAGACAGGUGACACCAAUGGCCGCGCUCUGGAAGCGCAGGUCGGUUUUGGGCUGUCACUGUCGCAGUCUGGGCUGUCACUGUCGGUACCCAGGUGUGCCCAGGUGUGUCCCAGGUGUGUCCCUCACCUGUCCCAGGUGUAUCCCAGGUGUGCCCAGGUGUGUCCCAGGUGUAUCCCAGGUGUGCCCAGGUGUAUCCCAGGUGUGCCCAGGUGUGUCCCAGGUGUGUCCCUCACCUGUCCCAGGUGUAUCCCAGGUGUGCCCAGGUGUGUCCCAGGUGUGC